rnacentral:tRNA from 1 species
GGGCGGUUAGCUCAGCGGGAGAGCGCUUGCUUCACACGCAAGAAGUCGCAGGUUCGAUCCCUGCACCGCCCACCA